rnacentral:rRNA from 1 species
CUAAAGCGUCCGUAGCUGGCCGCACAAGUCCGUCGGGAAAUCCGCCCGCUCAACGGGCGGCCGUCCGGCGGAACCUGUGUGGCUUGGGACCGGGAGGCCUGAGGGGUACGAUCGGGGUAGGAGUGAAAUCCUGUAAUCCCGCUCGGACCGCCGAUGGGGAAACCACCUCAGGAGAACGGAUCCGACAGUGAGGGACGAAAGCCAGGGUCUCGAACC